UUUACCCUGCUGUGUUCGUGAUGCAGCAUACCAGUUUUGGGCCAACACCCUUUACUAACGUCAGAACUCCAUCACGUAAUGCGAUAGACUUUUGUCAAGGCAGAGCUGAUGGGUACGACAAACCUGCUUACGCAGGUUCAAAACUCAGCGGCACACGGCACGGCGGGGUUGUU
rfam:Anaerolinaceae bacterium 46_22 MPJ_scaffold_4676, whole genome shotgun sequence.